rnacentral:misc_RNA from 1 species
AAAGAAUUUUGCAGUAGGGGAUAAAUUUAAUGUUUGCCAGACAGUAUUUCAUUCUUGUUGUCUAUUUUGAAAUAACGUGUACCAUGAAGGGCAAAUAUUCCUAGUGAGUAGUGAAAUUUGUUAAAGGAAUCCUCAUUUGCUUAGCUUGAAACAACUCAGCCAUGGACUUUGGUAAACUGAUGUACUAGAGAUCCUCUUUAUUCCAUUUAUGCAACAAUGCUCUAGUUAUCUUAUUAAUUAUAUGCUUAAUCCAAUGCAUUCAUGAUAUCAGUGAAUCCCAGCUAUGAAGUGGCUGCUUCAUUUUCAUAAUUCAUCAUUCUACUUAGUUUACUGGCAGUUUGUUGACGUCACUAACUUCCGGGUUUUGUCUGAUGCAAUUUCAGAAUGGGAAGAUAUCAAUGUUGU